GACGAACGCUGGCGGCGUGCUUAACACAUGCAAGUCGAACGAUGAAGCCCAGCUUGCUGGGUGGAAGAGUGGCGAACGGGUGAGUAACACGUGAGUAACCUGCCCCUGACUCUGGGAUAAGCGCUAGAAAUGGCGUCUAAUACUGGAUAUGACCUAUCACCGCAUGGUGUGUGGGUGGAAAGAUUUAUCGGUUGGGGAUGGACUCGCGGCCUAUCAGCUUGUUGGUGAGGUAAUGGCUCACCAAGGCGACGACGGGUAGCCGGCCUGAGAGGGUGACCCGCCACACUGGGACUGAGACACGGCCCAGACUCCUACGGGAGGCAGCAGUGGGGAAUAUUGCACAAUGGGCGCAAGCCUGAUGCAGCAACGCCGCGUGAGGGAUGACGGCCUUCGGGUUGUAAACCUCUUUUAGUAGGGAAGAAGCGAAAGUGACGGUACCUGCAGAAAAAGCACCGGCUAACUACGUGCCAGCAGCCGCCGUAA
rnacentral:rRNA from 1 species